UGGGGAAUAUUGGACAAUGGGCGCAAGCCUGAUCCAGCCAUGCCGCGUGAGUGAUGAAGGCCUUAGGGUUGUAAAGCUCUUUCAGUGGGGAAGAUAAUGACGGUACCCACAGAAGAAGCCCCGGCUAACUUCGUGCCAGCAGCCGCGGUAAUACGAAGGGGGCUAGCGUUGUUCGGAUUUACUGGGCGUAAAGCGCACGUAGGCGGUUUGUUAAGUCAGAGGUGAAAUCCCGGAGCUCAACUCCGGAACUGCCUUUGAUACUGGCAAGCUAGAGUCCGGAAGAGGUGAGUGGAACUCCUAGUGUAGAGGUGGAAUUCGUAGAUAUUAGGAAGAACACCAGUGGCGAAGGCGGCUCACUGGUCCGGUACUGACGCUGAGGUGCGAAAGCGUGGGGAGCAAACAGGAUUAGAUACCC
rnacentral:rRNA from 1 species